GCUCGUGUCUCGAGAUUUUUCGGUAAUUUCGUUUUUUAAUUUUAAUUUAAUGCUCGUAUUUUUUUCCGUUUUAAUAUUAUUAAUAUUUUAUGCAUUUUUAUAUUUUGGCAUUUAUAUCUUUAAUUUCAUUUAAUUUAAUUCAAUUUUUAUUUAAUUUUAUUUUAUUUUAAAUACUUUUAAUAAAUAAGGCAACGAAUCGAUUUAACAUGAACUCGUUGAUUUCAUCGCUAUGUUGGGUGAAUAUCACCGGUUCGCGUUAAAAUCGAUACGCCCUUUUAAAAAUCGAAAAUAUUCAAAAAAUUAGUAUUUAAAAAAAAUCCUCGCGUUUCGAAAUUUUCGUGUCUUCAAAAAAAAUUUCUCGUGUUUUCAAAAAUAAGGUAACGAAUCGAUUUGACACUAAUUCGUUGAUUUCAUUGCUAUAUUGAGUGAAUAUCACCGAUUAGUGUUAAAUGCGAUACGUGCUUAAUGAAAAAUCAGAAAAUUUUUCGUGUUUUCAAAAAUUCUCAUGUUUUCAAAAAAAUCCAUUUUUCAAAAUUUUUUGUGUUUUCUAAAAAUUUCCAUAUUUCUAAAAUUUU
rnacentral:lncRNA from 1 species